GAGAGAUCAUGGAUCUUUGGGAUCAGAUUUCCACAAAUCUUCGAACCAGUUACUAUCAAAGAGCUUGAUUACUACACAUAUCCAAUGAUCAACAAUAGACUCAUUGUGCUAUAAAGAUUGUCAGCAAUACAGACUAUAAAAACACAGGCAAAGUAUAUGGGCAAAGUUUCUUGAUGCAAGUUAGAAUCCGGCACCAUGGGCUGAAGAACCAACAACUAAAAUAUUGGCUGAAGAACCUGCAAUAUCAGGAGGUGGGAAUAUUGUGUGGAAUGUGAAGAUUAUCUUGAUGAGUGGGAUAAGCAAGAAUGUUUCAGAGGAGCUGUCAUAUGAAAGAAGCUCUGAUGAUCACAUGCCUCAUAUCUACAAUAUCAUUAGGUUUGCCAUUCUUAAAAACACUGCUCA